rnacentral:tRNA from 1 species
GGAAAGGUGGCCGAGUGGCUUAAGGCGCACGCUUGGAAAGCGUGUAUACGGAAACGUAUCGGGGGUUCGAAUCCCUUCCUUUCCG